rnacentral:lncRNA from 1 species
AUCUUCUUCGAUGAUCAGUCAGAGAUAUCUUCACGUGUAAGUCUUUUAUUUUGUAACGCCUUUUCCUGCAGAAGCUACGGCUGAAGAACCUCAGCACAAUAUGGAUGUUACAUGCAAAUAAGAACAUUCGUUUGCUGUAAUGACCAGUUUUUCCCCUAUUUCCAACAGAGCACAACGUGCACUAGUAAGGAGGAAGAGGAGAACUUAUCUGCAUCAAAUAAAACUGUUUCAGACGUCCUGAUUGUAAGAAUCAUCAAGCACAUUUUUACUGUUACAUUGUUAUAAGGACCAUAUUUCUAGCACUGGGUUAUUUUUCCUCCAAUGGUGGCUGUCUUCCCAGAUUGAGCUGAUGUUGCUUUAUUCUUAACAGAGCCCGGGGUCCACAGAUGAUGAAGACCCAGAAAUAUACUUUUCCUGUGUCAGUGACACCCAACAGGAGGAGCAGGCUGAAGAGCCCCUGGCGAUAGUCGGCCGGCCAGGCUCACCUUUAGGUGUCGCAGGUCACCAGAGCCCAGCGUGUCCUGCAGGGGUGGGAGGAGAGGACAUGUGUCCACUCGACAGCCCCUCUUCCCCUAAGACCAGCAUUGAUGUCGAGCAAGCUAUAAAAAAGUCCCAGAGAUAUAUUGUUCCUAUGUGGUCUCCAGAAGCAGAUUAGAAAGUGCGAGAACCCUUACGCCUGAGGAACUGGCCUGUUAUGGGUAAAGAUUUUAGCAUAUCAUCAUCACCAUCCUCCUCCUCCUCCUCAUCAUCAUCGCUUUGCUCUGUUUUUCUUGUGUUUCAGGCUCCCCAACCUGUCCCAGACCUGCUAUAUGACCUCUGUUCCCCAGAGCCUCCUGACCCUCGUGCCUUUUGUGAAGGAGCUCAACAAACAGAGUCAACAGUGGCUUUCGCACCCAAACGCUCUGCUUUCCAAGUUGCUCACUGACAUGAACAACAGCUUCACAACAAGAAAAGGAAGCAGAAGAAAUCCACCCUCUUCACGUUCCUGCGCACCAUUGCUCUGCAACACCCAGACUCUAGACUUCAUUUCUAUCAAAUUAUGGAGACUGUAAUUUUUUUUUUUUAACUAAUUUUUAUCAGGAAAGAUAUUCAAGAUCAUUCCCCUCCCUGCCCUGUUUGGAUCUUAUGUGUUUCUCUAAUUUUUUUGAGCAGUGUAUAUACUGUAUAUACAAGGUCAGAGCACAACAACUUCUUAAAAAAGUUAAAGAACGUCAUAAAAAGUUGAAAUGCGUGGCCACUGCCAAUGAGAAAUAGAGGUAAACUCAACAGCAAACAACAGAUGUUUUGUUCCCUUUUUCCUUUAAUUCUCUGCUGCGUCAAUAAUCUGCACCCAGAGACGUGCAGAGAUUCCUCAGGUUCUGCAUGUAAUACAUUUCCUACUUCAGUGGGGCUUCAGUGCCAAUAUUUACAGCUCCCUAGUCAACCAUAAGAGCCACGGGUACUAAAACGCUUAUAUCCGGUGCUACAAUUAAAUCUGCUAGCAUUGAGGGUGAUACAUACCAUAAAACAUUUAUGCCAUAAGUCGGUGGCAUCGUGUGCACAUGGCGUUCACUACCGCUGUUCUCAAACAUUCCCAUGUGACUGAGAUCACGCAGCAUCAUUUAUGCAAAAGGUAAAAAUCAACCUCCCUCCAUGUUUUCACAUGUUUGACAUUUUUCUUAAUCCCUGAACGCAUUUCCCCCUCAGUUAAAAGUUUUGUUUAGGCUUCAACUUUAGAUUUAAAACUUAGAACACCAUAUCAGACAUUAGUUCGGCUC